rnacentral:rRNA from 1 species
ACUCCUACGGGAGGCAGCAGUGGGGAAUAUUGCACAAUGGGGAAGCCCUGAUGCAGCCAUGCCGCGUGUGUGAAGAAGGCCUUCGGUUGUAAGCACUUUCAGUAGGGAGGAAGGUAGUGUAGUUAACACCUGCACUAUUUGACGUUACCUACAGAAGAAGCACCGGCUAACUCCGUGCCAGCAGCCGCGGUAAUACGGAGGGUGCGAGCGUUAAUCGGAAUUACUGGGCGUAAAGCGCAUGCAGGCGGCCUGUUAAGUCAGAUGUGAAAGCCCGGGGGCUUAACCUCGGAAUUGCAUUUGAAACUGGCAGGCUAGAGUCUUGUAGAGGGGGUAGAAUUUCAGGUGUAGCGGUGAAAUGCGUAGAGAUCUGAAGGAUACCAGUGGCGAAGGCGGCCCCUGGACAAAGACUGACGCUCAGAUGCGAAAGCGU